CCAUCCCUCCCAGCCCCUAGUAAAUCUGUCCUUCUUCAGCCCCAGCUCUUGGUGCCUACAGCAAGAAAAUCCUAGGUCAUGUGAGCUGCCAUCACACCAGUCACUGAACAGAACACUGUGAUCUGUUCCCAUAGUGAUCCUCACAAAAGGAGAACAGCUGAGGGAGUGUUGGGUACGUGUGGCUUAUUCAUGUGAUAGCUGUGACUACAUUCAAUAUCACCAAACAUUAGCUGGCUAAGCAUUCACCAACAAUGAGCAAGAUAUUAGCAAAAUAAAUGCUGCUCACCAUGCAGACAAAAAAAUCCAGGUUGGUGAAGUAGAAAAUAAAGCCACACAAUGGCACUAUUAGUACUAAGUGAUGAAGGCUUAAAGACAAAUCUCUUCAUAUAUUUAGGAUGCCAAACAACUGAUAUGAAGUCUCAGAUGAUUUGUCCUAAAGAAUCACAAAGCAAAUGGAGGCAUGGUAAAACUCAAGCAAGCAUCAUUGUUCCCAGAUAGAUUCAAAAUGUAGCUUUUUUUUGCAAGUAGCAAUUUGCCCAUUUCUGCAUUGCAGUGUAUCUCCCACCGCAGGAAACAUACCAUGCUUACAGAUUAAAAAUUUCUAACCACUGAUAUUGGUGAAAAGCAGUACAAAAUUUGUUCUUCUCUGUCUUCUCCCUCUUGUAACCCUUCAGUUUAUAAUGAAUAGCAAUGUGGAACUACAGCUAAGUGGAACAGUCAAGCUGUGAUCUCAGCUAUUAAUACUCAUAAGCAGUGAUUACACAAUGCUAAGUAUUGUCAUUACAACAUGAUUUGCUGCUGUUAGGUUAAAGAACAUACUGCAGAAAACCUUUAAAAAGUCAAAUCAAUAAAAGAGUAUGAUUUCUUUCUUUUUAGUUACAUAGCACAUCAAAAUAAUUUCUAACUUUUUAAAAUUAAUUAUUAAUUUUAGAGAAAGAUAAUUAAUAAGAGCAUUAAACAAUAGAAAAGAAAUAACAAAAUAAUCCCACAGUAUUUUUGCAAUAGUUAUAUGAGUACUGUUAAUUAAGUCUCUGAAAAAAUAAGCUGUAAAUGACAUUCACGUGUAUUAAUUUAUCUCAGUUAUUAAUUAAAUGCUCCCUCCAGGGUCUGAAAAUCCGGUUCAUUGUUUUCAAGUUUCCCUUGAUCUGAAUAAAACCUAGUUCUGACUUUCUACAGUCCUCAUUAUCUUUUCCUCUAAACCUUAAUCAGAUGCACUUUUUCAGAACUUUACAAAGUAGGUGUCUAGCCCAUAAUCAAACCCAUUUGCUUGCCCUACCAGACACAUGUCGAAUACUUCCAAAUAACUUAUGCCCUUUCACAAGUACACUGCUAUUCCUUUCACAGAUCCUCUAGCUUACAAGUCUACUUAAAGAGCACAAUAAGGUUGAAAAAUAAGACAAAACUUUAUAAAAAAACAU